rnacentral:lncRNA from 1 species
CCUGGUGCUGAUUUUAAAAUAUGAUUCUUAAUUUGUUAAAAAUUUAUCUGCAAAAUUUCCCCCAUUCAUCCAUCUACAGUGCCUAGUCCAGAUGCUACACAUACACAUCCAAGAAAUAAGAAACUAGUGGAAUCACCUAGAAAACUUUAUAGUCACUGUUGGUAUCCGCACCAGAGCUUUGAAUUUGCAAUCACUGCUGUAACUGUAAUUUUUAACAUUCAGUGUGAUGAGAACUGGCUUCAA